UGGUCAGGGCAGUCAAGCUAUGGCUCUUGUUGCUUGUGCAACUUCAUCACAGUCAGGAGUCCCACCACCUUCCAAUGCCAUUCCUAAUAACGCUAAUUUUCAGGCAUCUAAUCCUGCGUCUCCUUUGCCGUCAAUUCAUGGCAUUGGAUCUCCUGCACAAUCAGGUGCUGAGCCAUCCACGCUGUCUCCGAUGAAGUCAAAUGAUGUCAUCUGUACUGGUCAACAGUCAGCGAGGGCCAAUAUAUCAGUCAGGGAAAAUGUUAUAAGCAGUUUACGUCAACUUUCCUGCAAGAUAAUUUUGAUUAGCCUUGAGUCUAAUCUAAUGCCAGUCACACGCUUCGAUAUCUUUAACCACAUGUUAAAUUGGCUUGUCAAUUGGGAUCAAAGACAGCAAGGGCUUGAUGAAUUUGAUAGUGCACAGUUCUGGAAGCCCGAUAAGGCCCUAAUUGAGUGGUUACAUGAUUGUCUAGAUGUUAUUUGGCUGUUAGUUGAUGAUAAUAAAUGCCGUGUGCCCUUUUACGAGCUCAUACGCAGUGGUUUGCAAUUUAUUGAGAACAUACCAGAUGAUGAGGCACUGUUUACCCUUAUCUUGGAAAUUCAUAGAAGGAGAGAUAUGAUGGCAACCCACAUGCAAAUGUUAGAUCAACAUCUACAUUGCCCUACAUUUGGAACUCCUCGACUCUUACCUCAGGCAACUACCACUGGUGAGACAGUGACAAACAUGAGAUAUUCACCAAUCACAUAUCCAAGUGUACUUGGAGAACCUUUGCAUGGAGAGGAACUUGCAGCAUCCAUUCAGAGAGGAAGUCUUGACUGGGAGCGAGCUAUGCGAUGUCUGAGACAUGCCUUUCGCAACACUCCAUCUCCAGACUGGUGGAGACGUGUAUUGCUUGUAGCACCCUGCCACAGGACUCAGGCCCAAGGACCUACACCAGGUGCUGUUUUUACUUCGGAAAUGAUUAGCGAGGCAACAAUUGAUAGGAUUGUGGAAUUGCUGAAGUUGACAAAUGCAGAAACAAAUUGCUGGCAGGAGUGGCUUAUUGUUUCUGAUGUAUUCUUUUCUCAUGAAGCAUGGAUGCAUUGAUUUUGUUGAUUUUGUUGACAAACUAGUGUGUCGACUUCAAGACGGUGAUCAACAUAUCCUCAGGACCAAUCAUGUUACAUGGUUGCUUGCACAAAUUAUCCGUGUUGAGCUUGUAAUGAAUGCUCUAAAUACAGACUCAAGAAAGGUGGAGACAACCCGGAAAAUUCUUUCA